GUAUGUGGGUCUAUUUCUGGGCCUUGGAUUGCAUUCCAUUGGCUGGCUAGGUAGUUGUCCUCUUCUUCCCUCACCACUUCAUGUGUUUCUCUCCUGGAGUUGCACUCUUGGUCCAAGAAGAUGACCUUCCCUGAAUAGGGGAGGACUGGUCAUCCAUCAGAGGUACACUAGCAGCUUGGCUCCCCUGCUAGGACCUCCAAGUUAUCAAUCACAAGGUAUCAAUCACUUAAAACAUGUGUAGCAGUUAAGAAGGGAAAGCAGCAUAUUUCAAGACAAUGAGGCAAGUCUAUAUAAAAGUACUACAAAAGUAGGUAAGUUAUUU
rnacentral:snRNA from 1 species